UACGAAGGGUGCAAACGUUGCUCGGAAUCAUUGGGCGUAAAGCGCACGUAGGCGGCCUGUUAAGUCGGAUGUGAAAUCCCUCGGCUCAACCGAGGACGUGCACCCGAAACUGGCGGGCUCGAGUAUGGAAGAGGGUCGCAGAAUUCCCGGUGUAGAGGUGAAAUUCGUAGAUAUCGGGAGGAAUACCAGUGGCGAAGGCGGCGACCUGGGCCAAUACUGACGCUGAGGUGCGAAAGCGUGGGGAGCAAACA
rnacentral:rRNA from 1 species